rnacentral:rRNA from 1 species
CAGCAGCCACGGUAAUACGAAGGGGGCUAGCGUUGUUCGGAUUUACUGGGCGUAAAGCGCACGUAGGCGGAUCCUUAAGUCAGAGGUGAAAUCCCAAGGCUCAACCUUGGAACUGCCUUUGAUACUGGGGAUCUCGAGUUCGGGAGAGGUGAGUGGAACUGCGAGUGUAGAGGUGAAAUUCGUAGAUAUUCGCAAGAACACCAGUGGCGAAGGCGGCUCACUGGCCCGAUACUGACGCUGAGGUGCGAAAGCGUGGGGAGCAAACAGGAUUAGAUACCCCGGUAGUCCCUGUCUCUUAUAC